rnacentral:lncRNA from 1 species
UUUAUUAUUAUGUAGUCCUUGCUAGGAGAUUUUAAAUAAAAAACAAAAGAAAAAAGUCAGAAAAUAAAGGAAAAAAAUAGGAAGAUGAUGAACUUCAAAAUUUUGUAUUUGGUUACCCACUCUUUUAUUGAGUAAUGAUUUCCCUAGUUCAUUGUUGGUAUGAGUAUUUUUUAAAAUGUGAUUGAUCUUGGAUUGGUUGAUUUUG